rnacentral:rRNA from 1 species
CGCCCUCCCUCGGCCAUUGACUCUUGGCAGUUCUGUGCCAAGCGUGGCCAUCAGUUCAUGAAGGGCUGGGGUGCCAACCUUGGUCGUGAUCUCAGGGAGCAUAAAAAGGCCAUGCGUAGCACCAUGCAGGAACUUGACCUCAGGGUUGAUGCCUCUGGCCUCUCCCCCGAUGGGUGGCACUCCCAAUACGAUCUAGAGGAUCAACUCUCUGUCAUCUACACCGAUGAGCAGGCCUAUUGGCGUCUACGUGUCUCCCAGAAAUGGGUCCUGAAGGGCGACACUAACACGGCUUACUUUCAGGCCAUUGCUAAUGGUCGUCGUAGACACAACACCAUCUCUCUUCUCUGGGAUGGCGAGAUGCUCUUACAAUUCCCUAGCGACAUUAGGGCGCACGUUGACGGAUUCUACAAGAGCCUCUUCUCCUCCCCCCCCCCCUUGAAGUGUGCUAUCGCUCCCAUGACUGCUAGACCAGCCCCCAGCUGGUUUCUAAGGAGAAUGCCCCUCACGGCCCCAUUCUCUAAGGGCGAGGUCUGGGCUGCCAUCCGUGGUAUGAAUCCCUCCUCGGCCCCGGGCCCCGACGGCCUCCCGGUCAAAUUCUUUCAGACAUUCUGGAAUGUAAUCAGACCGGAGAUCAUGGCCAUCUUUGACAAGUUCUAUGUAGGCUCCAUCGACCCCGGCCGGCUCAACAAUGGGAUCAUUUCUCUCAUCCCCAAAGUGCCUGGGGCUUCCGACAUCCACCAGUUCCUCCCAAUCACGGUGAUCAAUGUGAUCUUUCGGAUCCUAGAAAAAGGGUGCGCCGGUGACCCUGCUUGUGGAUCACAUUACUCAUCCCAACCAGUCCGCCUUCAUCCAAGGGCGGUAUAUCCUGGAUGGGGUGCUUGUCCUCCACGGGGUGCUCCAUGA